rnacentral:rRNA from 1 species
GUCCUACGGGAGGCAGCAGUAGGGAAUCUUCCACAAUGGACGAAAGUCUGAUGGAGCAACGCCGCGUGAGUGAAGAAGGGUUUCGGCUCGUAAAGCUCUGUUGGUAGUGAAGAAAGAUAGAGGUAGUAACUGGCCUUUAUUUGACGGUAAUUACUUAGAAAGUCACGGCUAACUACGUGCCAGCAGCCGCGGUAAUACGUAGGUGGCAAGCGUUGUCCGGAUUUAUUGGGCGUAAAGGGUGCGUAGGCGGUUCAAUAAG